rnacentral:lncRNA from 1 species
GUCCGGCAGAAAUGCCAGCCUCAGAGAAUGAGAGCCAGAGCCCUCAGCAUCGAAGGUGAGCACUGCCAUUGUGUAAGACGCCAGAGGGAACUGAAGGGAGCUGGCAGAGUGUGGCUGUUUGCUUAAGAAGAUGGUGGAAGAUGAAAGGCUAUGGAUAGACACACACACCACCAUGACUACAGGUCAGACAAGUCACAGGGGCAUGACGGAUCCCCAGGUAUUGGAUCUCUGGGCUCCAUACAGAUAGCAUGUGAUAUUUAAAGGUACUGAGGAUGAAAACUGAAAAUUAAGUAUGCUCCAGGGGUUAAUUUUUCUGGGACGGUGAGACGAGUCCCCCAUUUCUACCAGUGCCCAUAAACAACAGUGCACCUCUGAGAUGAAUUCACAGUCAUGCCCUGGCUUUCCUUCUCCAAUCCGCC